AUUGUUUCUCACCUUAAUAGUAUAAGCUGAAAAUGUAAUCCUCUGUAGUGCAUGUGCUAAGAUCUACAAGAACAAUUUUUUUAGAUGCUUGAACGUGUACUUACUUUGAAUUUUCAUAGAUCUGAAACAGUUACAGGGUCUUCAUUGCAGGCAAGUCCCUAAGCUGAGAAAUACAGAGGUGAGAUCUGAAGCUCUGUGCUGACAGUCAUGGAAGCUACCCUGCACAGGCACAAGGAUCCACACAACACCUUUACUGGGGAACAUCAAUUCAAGAAGGCAACAGAGAUGUUAAUUGUAAUAGAUCCACCGAUGUAAUUCUCAUAACUGAGUUGCUCUAUCUUGACCUACAUCAGCUGUGCAUGAGAACUGCAACUUUCUCUUUUUCACCAAGUGAUUGA
rnacentral:lncRNA from 1 species